rnacentral:rRNA from 1 species
GAGCGGCGAACGGGUGAGUAACACGUGAGUAACCUGCCCCAAACUUUGGGAUAACCCUCGGAAACGGGGGCUAAUACCGAAUAUUACUGCUGGUCGCAUGGCUGGUGGUGGAAAGUUUUUCGGUUUGGGAUGGACUCGCGGCCUAUCAGCUUGUUGGUGGGGUAAUGGCCUACCAAGGCGAGGACGGGUAGCCGGCCUGAGAGGGCGACCGGCCACACUGGGACUGAGACACGGCCCAGACUCCUACGGGAGGCAGCAGUGGGGAAUAUUGCACAAUGGGCGGAAGCCUGAUGCAGCGACGCCGCGUGAGGGAUGACGGCCUUCGGGUUGUAAACCUCUUUCAGCAGGGACGAAGCGAGAGUGACGGUACCUGCAGAAGAAGCGCCGGCCAACUACGUGCCAGCAGCCGCGGUAAGACGUAGGGCGCGAGCGUUGUCCGGAUUUAUUGGGCGUAAAGAGCUCGUAGGCGGCUUGUCGCGUCGACUGUGAAAACUUGGGGCUCAACCNCAAGCUUGCAGUCGAUACGGGCAGGCUAGAGUUCGGUAGGGGAGACUGGAAUUCCU